GAUGAAGAACGUAGCGAAAUGCGAUAAGUAAUGUGAAUUGCAGAAUUCAGUGAAUCAUCUAAUCUUUGAACGCACAUUGCGCCCGCCAGUAUUCUGGCGGGCAUGCCUGUCCGAGCGUCAUUUCAACCCUCGAACCCCUCCGGGGGGUCGGCGUUGGGGACCUCGGGAGCCCCUAAGACGGGAUCCCGGCCCCGAAAUACAGUGGCGGUCUCGCCGCAGCCUCUCCUGCGCAGUAGUUUGCACAACUCGCACCGGGAGCGCGGCGCGUCCACGUCCGUAAAACACCCAACUUCUGAAAUGUUGACCUCGGAUCAGGUAGGAAUACCCGCUGAACUUAAGCAUAUCAAUAAGCGGAGGA
rnacentral:misc_RNA from 1 species